rnacentral:tRNA from 1 species
GCCCUCUUAGCUCAGGGGAUAGAGCGUCUGCCUCCGGAGCAGAAGGCCACAGGUUCGAAUCCUGCAGAGGGCACCA